UGCUUGAGACAAAAGGACUCUGCUGGGACCUGGCUCCCCCAAAAAUAAAGAGACCCUCCAAGAUGCUGGACAACUGCACUCAUGAAUGUCACCAUAAGGCAAGAAACUCCCACAAUUCUUCUAUGUUCUAUACACAUGUGCUUCUUGUGAUGAAACAGAAGUAUAACUAUGGAGAGGCACUGUACAUUUUUUAGUGGAAGAAUUUCAUGACUGCAUCCCUAUUUUCCCCUCAUGCAAAGGUGCCCUCGUCUGGAAUGGGUUGCAGAUCCCUGCUGACUGGUGACAAAUUCAGUCAUGUGUGAAAUCAUGCCCUUUAGCAGACUCCUCAUGGGAAAGACAUUCAAAAUGUGACCUCCAUUGUCAGCUCUUGUUUCUUCCCCCACUUCUGCAAUGCAAAACCAGCCCUAUCAGGAAGAAUACAAGUUUGCUCUU